GGAGCCGUGGUGUAGUGGCCUAACAUGCGUCCCUGUCAAGGACGAGAUCGCGGGUUCGAAUCCCGUCGGUUCCG
rnacentral:tRNA from 1 species